rnacentral:rRNA from 1 species
UGGGGAAUAUUGCACAAUGGGCGCAAGCCUGAUGCAGCAACGCCGCGUGAAGGAAGACGGUUUUCGGAUUGUAAACUCCUGUUGUUGAGGAAGAUAAUGACGGUACUCAACAAGGAAGUGACGGCUAACUACGUGCCAGCAGCCGCGGUAAUA